rnacentral:lncRNA from 1 species
UUCAUGAAAGAGAUGGAACCUAGCUGGACCUUGAAGAAAAAGGAUUUCAAUAGAAGAGGACCCUGGUUUUGGGGAUGAAAAGGAGGACCAUCCAGGGAAGACAACUGGCUGGAGCUGAGGACAAGAAGGGUCAAAUAUCUGAUCAAUGUGCACCCACUCAGUACAGAAUAAAGCCCUACACAGCAGAGAUAUGUGGAACUUACCAAAGAAGGCACUACAGAGAAGGAAAAUGGAUCUCACAAAAAGAAAUGACUCUUCUAUUGGACUACAGCAAUCUCAUGGAAAUCGGGACCCAAAAUUCCAGCUUGUAACUGAGCGCUGAUACCAAGUUCAUUUAUAUGGUUCAGCCAUAGGAUUCCAUUCCAGCAGUCACAUGUUGCUUUUAUGAUAUAUUGGAUGUCAAGAAAUCUACCAGCAGCUGACACUGGCCAUCAUAUUGAGGAAUUUUCCAGGUUCUAGGUCUGGAAAUGCAUCAUGAAUGAGCUAGAAAGCUGAGCUGCUGCUAUCACGUGGAUGCAGUAUACAUAUGGGGGGAUGCCUGGUUUUUCUCCCUUCCAGGAUUUUGAGGCAGCAAACAAAACUCUCGAGGACUUCAGAUCCUGCAAAGCCUUCUCAGGCUUGUCUGCCUAAAGGAUUCCAUCCAUCAUUGUCAGCUGUGAGUUCACAGCUUUAGUCUUGGCCCUAACAUAAACUUUGACUACUGCUGCGGUUUGAGAGUUUGUAAGAAGUCAUAAAAUACAAGUGGACGUUCCGUUUACUUGCAGCUUACACACGUCAGCACCUGACUAAAUAAGAGGAGAAAAAAAUAAACUGACAAUGAUUAAUAUCA